UAAGUACUCCCUCCGUUCGGAAUUACUUGUCUCGGAAAUGGAUGUAUCUAGAACUAAAAUACGUCUAGAUACAUCCAUUUCUGCGACAAGUAAUUCCGAACGGAGGAAGUAUUUC
rnacentral:pre_miRNA from 1 species